rnacentral:lncRNA from 7 species
AGUUGCCUCUGUAGAUGCUUAAACCACUAGUUUUACAACACCCUGCACUCUUGUUGAAAGCCAGGGAACCUAGCCAGGCUGCAAGGACAACACCGUUGUGAUCUGACAGAGCAGACAGCCCUUGUGUUCAGGCUGCUUGCAGUCCCAUGUCUGAAGGAUCGUGCUGCAAAGCAAGUCAGCUACCUGCAGGAGCACAGAGAGGAGCUUAGUGAGUCGGACCAGGCUGUGAGGGAGUGGUGGAGCUGCCUGUCCUGCCUGUCCAGCCGAUGCUGACCCAGGAGCUUGCACAUUUUGGGGGCAUUUUUAUCCAUGUAUCUGAGGCACAGUGUUCAUCUCCUCACGUUAAUCUCAUGGGAAGGCAGGGCAGCUUUCAGACAGUGGCAUUCUCCUGACAAAGCCCAGCCCUCCCAUCCUGCGCUUUGCACUGAUGGAAGAACCAUAUCCAGAUGAAGCAGCCGGAGCCCCCGGGGAAGAUGGGCUGCCUUCUCCCUUCUCCCUCACUUACAGAUGCCACAUCCCAUCUCAUUUAUGUUAUUAAAAUGAUUUCCGUGGGG